rnacentral:rRNA from 1 species
AACGAACGCUGGCGGCAGGCUUAACACAUGCAAGUCGAGCGCCCCGCAAGGGGAGCGGCAGACGGGUGAGUAACGCGUGGGAAACUACCCUUUGGUACGGAACAACUCCGGGAAACUGGAGCUAAUACCGUAUGUGCCCUUCGGGGGAAAGAUUUAUCGCCAUAGGAUGUGCCCGCGUAGGAUUAGCUAGUUGGCGGGGUAAUGGCCCACCAAGGCGACGAUCCUUAGCUGGUCUGAGAGGAUGAUCAGCCACACUGGGACUGAGACACGGCCCAGACUCCUACGGGAGGCAGCAGUGGGGAAUAUUGGACAAUGGGCGCAAGCCUGAUCCAGCCAUGCCGCGUGAGUGAUGAAGGCCUUAGGGGUUGUAAAAGCUCUUUCGCACGCGACGAUAAUGACGGUAGCGUGAGAAGAAGCCCCGGCUAACUUCGUGCCAGCAGCCGCGGUAAU